ensembl:lncRNA
GUGUUAUUUGCAUCUUUAAAACUGGUGUCUGAUAAAGUGCGUGUGGUGUCAAUGUUUAUAACCUUAUAAUAACUGAAUAAGUUGCCAAUGAAAUACAGAUGCACAGAGCACAGAACUUAAUGGCCUCAUGAGCAUUUUGAGAAAACUGUGACUGUGAUUUUGCACUAUAUAAAUAAAACUAAAUUGAAGUUUUGGACUAUUUAAAAAUACAUUUUGCUAUAAUAAAACCUGCUGUAAUUGUGCACGUAGGUCUGAACUUUGAUGCCAAAAUUCAAAUUCAUGGUCGAUCACUUCAGAAAUAGAGCAGGUGAAGUAACAUCAGGCAACCCAUAACCAACCACACUAAUAUCAGUUAGAACCGAAAGCAGCAUUUUCAGAAUGAUACAGCAUUUUGAGGAAGCCAGAAAUGUAAAAUGCUAUAUCAAAAUUAUAUAACAUUUUAAACACUGUUUCAUUUAUAUAAAAACACAGAAAGUAAAACAGAUGUGAACUGUGAUGGAUACAUUUAUUUAGCAUCCAGCCUAAGUAAUAUGCAUCAUUAAGUCCGCUUAUUUUGUUACUGCAGUUGAAGUAUAAUAAUAACAAUAAUAAUAUUAAUAAUGUAUCUAUCAUUGCACCUGCACGUCUUCCUGAUAACACUUAUACCAAAGUAUCAUAAGUUCAAAGAUUACUGACUCUUUUAAGCUGUUCAUCAGUAUAAAAUGCUUGUCCUACCUUUUCUGCAGAUCUCUGAGCUCUGUGUGGGAACAACUUAGUAUCUAACUACAUAUCAGGGAGUGAAAGAGGAAUUGAAGCCUUAAAAAAUCAAACCGAUUUGAGCCUAAACAAAAACACAUGGAAGGCCAAAGCAGGGAUUAAAAGUGGGACGGCGUGUUUUUGUUGUUUGUUUUGUUUUGUUUUUGCCACCACAAAGGAAUGACAGCGGGUAUCUGUUAGUUGCAGUAUUUCAGCAUCUAGCUAACCCUACUGAGGAGGAGCGAGGAUAAAGGGAGUAACGUUUUUUAAGUGUCAGGUACAC